rnacentral:rRNA from 1 species
AGUGAACGCUGGCGGUAGGCCUAACACAUGCAAGUCGAACGGCAGCACAGUAAGAGCUUGCUCUUACGGGUGGCGAGUGGCGGACGGGUGAGGAAUACAUCGGAAUCUACUUUUUCGUGGGGGAUAACGUAGGGAAACUUACGCUAAUACCGCAUACGACCUACGGUUGAAAGCAGGGGAUCUUCGGACCUUGCGCGAUUGAAUGAGCCGAUUUCGGAUUAGCUAGUUGGCGGGGUAAAGGCCCACCAAGGCGACGAUCCGUAGCUGGUCUGAGAGGAUGAUCACCCCCACGGGAACUGAGACACGGUCCAGACUCUGAGGGAAGGCAGCGUCGGGUAAUAUUGGCAAAUGGGGGGAAGCUUGAUCCAGCCACACCGGGUGGUUGAAGAAGCCCUUCGGGUUGUAAGGCCUUUUUGUUGGGAAAGAAAGGCAGCAGUUUAAACCCCGGCUGUUCGACCGGAACCAAAAGAAAAGCACCGGCUAACUUCGUG